rnacentral:tRNA from 1 species
UGGCUGAGCGGUAAAGCGCUUGGCUUCCGAACAGGGGUCCUGGGUACGAAUCCUAG